rfam:Triticum aestivum genome assembly, contig: Triticum_aestivum_CS42_TGACv1_scaffold_526662_6DL
AAAGUACUCCCUCCGUCCCAAAAUUCUUGUCUUAGAUUUGUCUAGAUACGGAUGUAUCAAGUCACAUUUUAGUAUUAGAUACAUCCGUAUCUAGAAAAAUCUAAGACAAGAAAUUUGGGACAGAGGGAGUAGUUG